GGACCUGUAGCCCAGCCUGGAUAAGGCGACAGCCUUCUAAGCUGUAGAUCGUGGGUUCGAAUCCCAUCAGGUCCG
rnacentral:tRNA from 1 species